UCCGGUUUGUCACCGGCAGUCACCUUAGAGUGCCCAACUAAAUGCUGGCAACUAAGAUCAAGGGUUGCGCUCGUUGCGGGACUUAACCCAACAUCUCACGACACGAGCUGACGACAACCAUGCACCACCUGUCACUUUGUCCCCCGAAGGGGAAAGCUCUAUCUCUAGAGUGGUCAAAGGAUGUCAAGACCUGGUAAGGUUCUUCGCGUUGCUUCGAAUUAAACCACAUGCUCCACUGCUUGUGCGGGCCCCCGUCAAUUCCUUUGAGUUUCAACCUUGCGGUCGUACUCCCCAGGCGGAGUGCUUAAUGUGUUGGCUGCGGCGGUGAAAGUGUUGAAACUACCACCACCUAGCACUCAUCGUUUACGGCUAGGACUAC
rnacentral:misc_RNA from 1 species